rnacentral:rRNA from 1 species
GACGAACCGUGCGAACGUUGUUCGGAUUCACUGGGCUUAAAGGGCGCGUAGGCGGCUUGCCAAGUCCGGGGUGAAAUCUUUCGGCUCAACCGGAAAAUUGCCCUGGAUACUGGCGGGCUCGAAGGAGGUAGGGGCAGCUGGAACUUCCAGUGGAGCGGUGAAAUGCGUUGAUAUUGGAAGGAACGCCGGUGGCGAAAGCGAGCUGCUGGACCUCCCUUGACGCUGAGGCGCGAAAAGCUAGGGGAGCGAACGGG